rnacentral:tRNA from 1 species
GGUGAGGUGGCAGAGCGGACUAAUGCACACGCCUUGAGAGCGUGAGUAAUCGCAAGGUUACCGCGGGUUCGAAUCCCGCCCUCACCG